rnacentral:tRNA from 1 species
GCCUGGCUGGCUCAGUCGGUGGACAUGUGACUCUUGAUCUCAGGGUUGUGGGUUCAAGCCCCACGUCGUGUG